rnacentral:miRNA from 1 species
UAUUGCAAAAACGUGUAGUAAUACAACAUGAUCUAGUCGACGUUUCAGUCCACGAAGGACUUUUAUCAAGACCUUGAUAAAAGUCCUUCGUGGACUGAAACGUCGACUAGAUCAUGUUGUAUUACUACACGUUUUUGCAAU